CAAUUAUUUUGGAUUGCCGCCCAAAGAUAUUUUAUCUCCCUCUCUCAAUUCAAACACGGAAUGGUCUGAAAAAUCUUUCUUAAUGUGCUGCAAUGGGUAAAGGGAUGCAGACGAAGAAUAGAAAGAUGGUCAAAUAGUCGCCCACUUGAUCGGUCUUUCUUUACUUUUUCCAACCCAAGCCCUAACACUCUCUCACCUUAUUCAACGUAGAUACUGAGAAUCCAAGUGAACGGAGUGUCCAUUUCUCCGCGAAUAAUCACAAAAAAUGUCGAAUUUCCAUGUCCUUAGAUUCGAAUCCAUCUUUUCCUCUUUCGAUCGGUGUAAAUCUCCAUUGGGUAACAAAUUCGAAUCCACAACUUGUUAUACCAUUCUAUAGUUUCGAUUGGUUUUGUUCGAAUUCUGGUUGCGAUUGGUGACAUGAAGAUCGAAGAGUUGGACGAUGAUGUAAAAUACGAUCAAGAUCAUGUUGGUGGAGGAGGACAGAUUGUUCGGGUCGAUGCGAAGAGAGCGCUAGUCGGAGCGGGGGCUCGGAUCCUAUUCUACCUGACCCUGCUGUACAAUGUGUUUUGCAACAAGAUUCAAGCCGAGCUUAGAUGGUGGGACGAAGUUGAGCAGGUUAGAGAAAAUGCGAUAUUUGUUCAUACGGUUCUAAUUGAGGCAUGUGCAAAGCUUCCAUUUACAUUGGGAAAAGCAAUUAACGAGUAGGUAUCUUAUAAAUUACUCCAUAAUUCAUUUUUUUCUUCUUCAACUGGUUAAAGAAAGUCUCAUCUGAGCUCAAUCAAAUAUAUUUUGCAGCUGCAACCUUCCUUCCUAACUCUUCUUUGGAUAAAACAACAUCAUACAGAAAGAUGGAUGUGGCAAAGUUAACAUUCUUGCCCACAUCCUUGCUGCAACCUCAAUGGGAUUCAUCUCCGCCGGCGCUGCUAUUCAUUUUUACCGGAAAAAGUCUAAAUUCUCGAAAGAAAACUAUAUUAUUCCGCAAUUUGAGAGCACAGGCUCUUCUCAUGAGGAAAACAUGAAACUUUUUCUCAUUAUGUUGUUAGGCAAAUAGGGUUUAAGGAUGCAAGUGAGUAUCCCCAAUUAUGCAAGUUAGCUAAUGAAUAUUUGAGGAAAACCAAAGACUGCGAAGAAAAAAUGUAUGAGUAUUUUGCUAAGAAGAAAAAUGCUGAGUCACUGUAUGUCAAGUUGGUGGAGGAAUUCCAAACCUGUAUUCUCAGAUAUUUUGCAUUUCGUUGGAGCAAAGCUUCUGAUAUGAUCACCCAGGUGUAUAUUUAUAUAUAUACACACACUUUGAAUUUAAUCCCAACUAAUUAAUUAAUUAUAUUAAUUUGUUAAUAAUUUAUUUAUUAAUUUAAUUGUUUACUUUCUUGGGUUGAUAUUAAUUGCAGGUUUUGAGUGUUGAUUAUGAGAAGAAAAUUGUUUUGAUUUGCAUAAACGAAUUGAAUUGGGAGAUUUAAUGGGUUUUCUCAUGCUAUUCAGCUUUUGUGAGGGUUAAUUACUAGGCAUACUAGGUUGGGUGAAGAACUUUGGAGGAGGGGUUUCAAGCAUGUGCAUUUCUUCUUUGUUAAUGAUUUUGUCUUAAUUUCUCCAUUGUCCUCUUGAAGUUUCAAAAGCUUAAUAGUUUUUUUUCUUCUUUUCAUGUGUUUGAUAUAGACACUUCUUUCUUAGAAGAGUGUUCUUUUUCAUGUGUUUAAUAGCCUUUUUUUUGCCUUAAUUAAUUUCAACUCCUAUAUAAAGUGUAGAUUAUUUGCAGUUGUCCAAAAAAUGGGUCAUAUUUCUUGUUCAGUUUGAGGCUUUGAGAAUGACUUUACCCCAUCUUUAUGUUUGUUUCUCAUGAAAAGAAGUCUUAUUUAUGUUCCCCCAAUUUUCUUCUACUUCCUUCAUUUUUUAUUUUUUAUUUUUUUUAUUUUUGCGUUAAUGUUCUGCUCGGCUAAUUAUUUCUAAUAAUUUGUCAUCUAGAGACAUACGGGAAGCUUGUUAGAAGACUUUACACAAAGGUAGAUCAGCACGCUAGCAGUGAGUGAAAACUUUUUGGUUGCUGGAGGCUUAAGCUUUCAAGGAGAAUUUACUUGUAAGAUUUUUGGAUGGGCUCAUGCUAUAAGACUUCAAGCUCUUUAUGUUUAAGAUAGUUUAAGUAAUGUAUGUCCAAGUCUUUGAACCCUUUGUUCAGGAAUCUAUAUCUUAUUUUUGUCUAGGAUCUUCAAACAUUUUAUUUAAGAUACUAGCUUGUUUUGAUCCAAAUUUUUGGAGUUAAAAUUGUUUUAGAUGCUAAGACUCCUUUUUUUACGCGAUGGGCUUUAUUAUGUGUGUUGUAAACAAUACAUUUUUUGGUUGGUGUAACUUAUACAAUAUCAAGUAUUUAUUUGUUUGCAUAA